CACUGCGUUAAUAAAGCGGUAGAAUCGUAUUAGACAACAUUUGUAUAUUAAACUAGAAUUCAGAUUACAAUUACUAGAAUUUAUACAAAGAAGGACUCGUUCAUAAAGUUUCAGAAAUUGUUAUGUUUAAUGGCCAUUUGAUGUCAGUACUCAGUAGUUUCUUAAAUCAGAAUCGGAAGGAGGAACUAAGCUUGCUGACCACAAAAAAAUUUAAGGUUGAUGAUGUAACAGUUUGCAAUCAGGAGUGCAGGUUUUGAAAUCGUGAAACAGAACCUCCUGAUUUUCCUUUACAAGUACAUGACUAGUUUAUGCAGUGAUUCAACCCAGGUUUUUACUUGACAACUAUAAUGGGUUCAACUAGCUACUGAAUGUCAAGUCAUUGCUGCCGAGUUUCAACUGGUACUCACAAAGAGUUUAUCAACUCCACAGUUCUGUACCACACGAAAAAGAUCUCAUUCUCUGAAGUGGUGAUAGCUCAAGCCAAGUAGCUGCAGAAAAUUAAAUCGACACAGCAGAGCAGCAGAGCUUGACAUGUGAUCAGUUUAAGGUCUUGACUUUUGCUACUGUUGUAACAUGCAGACAUUCACUAUUAAUGGACUCCCAACUUCUAGAUAGUCUAGAUUGCCUCAUUGCUCUACCAUCCGGGAUAACAUUCUCAGUAUUAAGAACUAUUUGAUCCGAUUUUUUAUGACUCGCCAUUCGCCAAUCUGAUAAUAAUCGUCUGCAAAAAUUUCCGCCAACAUAAAAAAUUUGUCGAGCAAUUGAAG